AAUGAACGCUGGCGGCAGGCCUAACACAUGCAAGUCGAGCGGAGCGGCGGACGGGGGAGUAAUGCCUAGGUAUCUGCCUGGUAGUGGGGGAUAAAGUCCGGAGACGGGCGCUAAUACCGCAUACUAUCAGAUGAGCCUAGGUAGGAUUAGCUAGUUGGUGGGGGAAAGGCCUACCAAGGCGACGAGCCGAAUCUGGUCUGAGUGGAUGAUCCGGCACACUGGAACUGAGACACGGUCCAGACUCCUACGGGAGGCAGCAGUGGGGAAUAUUGUGCAAUGGGCGAAAGCCUGAUCCAGCCAUGCCGCGUGUGUGAAGAAGGUCUUCGGAUUGUAAAGCACUUUAAGUUGGGAGGCGUUACCAACAGAAUAAGCACCGGCUAACUACGUGCCAGCAGCCGCGGUAAUUC
rnacentral:rRNA from 1 species